GGGAGAAACCGUUCUGGAUUGCCUGAUUGCUUGGCGAAGAAGGAGCAAGAAGGAAACAAAAUCAGACUUGGACCCUGAAACUCUUGCCCAGUAUGAUGAUGUUGUCAAAACACUCAGAGUUGCUUUGAAAAAAGCUGGACACAAUCCAGAGUCUGAAAGGAGAUCCCCUUCACCCGUUACCUCCUCUUUCACAAGUCAGCCAUCAACGUCAAGAGGGCAUUUGGAAAACACCAGGGAUUAUCCUUCACAAAGACAAGUGCCAUCAAACAAAAGGAGGAGUUUUGAGGAGGAUGUUCAAUCAUCCAAACAUAGAUUUUCUGAUAAAGAUAGAUCAAGGUCAUCUAGUUCCUCC